rnacentral:rRNA from 1 species
CAGUCGCCGCGGUAAUACGUAGGUGGCAAGCGUUGUCCGGAAUUAUUGGGCGUAAAGGGCUCGCAGGCGGUUUCUUAAGUCUGAUGUGAAAGCCCCCGGCUCAACCGGGGAGGGUCAUUGGAAACUGGGAAACUUGAGUGCAGAAGAGGAGAGUGGAAUUCCACGUGUAGCGGUGAAAUGCGUGGAGAUGUGGAGGAACACCAGUGGCGAAGGCGACUCUCUGGUCUGUAACUGACGCUGAGGAGCGAAAGCGUGGGGAGCGAACAGGAUUAGAUACCCGAGUAGUCCCUGUCUCUUAUAA